rnacentral:rRNA from 1 species
UGAGGAAUAUUGCUCAAUGGGCGAAAGCCUGAAGCAGCAACGCCGCGUGCGCGAUGAAGGUCUUCGGAUCGUAAAGCGCUUUUGAGAGGGACGAGAUGGGACGGUACCUCUUGAAUAAGUCACGGCUAACUACGUGCCAGCAGCCGCGGUAAAACGUAGGUGGCAAGCGUUAUCCGGAUUCACUGGGCGUAAAGCGAGUGCAGGUGGUUGCGUAAGUUGGAUGUGAAAUUUCCCGGCUUAACCGGGAAGGGUCGUUCAAUACUGCGCGACUUGAGGGCAGAAGAGGGGGGUGGAAUUGCCGGUGUAGUGGUGAAAUGCGUAGAUAUCGGCAAGAACACCUGUGGCGAAAGCGGCCCCCUGGUCUGCUCCUGACACUCAGACUCGAAAGCUAGGGUAGCGAACG